rnacentral:antisense_RNA from 1 species
UGAAACAACGAAUUGCUGUGUGUAGUCUUUGCCCAUCUCCCACGAUGGGCUUUUUUUUAA